rnacentral:rRNA from 1 species
UAGUAACGGCGAGUGAAGAGGGAAAAGCUCAAAUUUUGAAUCUGGUGUCUUUGGCGCCCGAGUUGUAAUCUAGAGAAGUGUUUUCUGCCUCGGACCACACAUAAAUUCCCUGGAAUGGGGUGUCAUAGAGGGUGAGAAUCCCGUUUGUGGUGUGGACUACCUUGGCUCUGUGAUACACUCUCAACGAGUCGAGUUGUUUGGGAAUGCAGCUCAAAAUGGGUGGUAAAUUCCAUCUAAAGCUAAAUAUUGGCGAGAGACCGAUAGCGAACAAGUACCGUGAGGGAAAGAUGAAAAGCACUUUGGAAAGAGAGUGAAACAGUACGUGAAAUUGUUGAAAGGGAAGCGUUUGAAGUCAGUCACAUCGGUUGGAAUUCAGCCUGGCUUUGCCUGGUGUACUUUCUGGCAGAUGGGUCAGCGUCAAUUUUGACUGAGGGAAAAAGACUUGAGGAAUGUGGCUGUCUUUGGGCAGUGUUAUAGCCUCCUUGUUGUAUGUCUCAGUUGGGGAUUGAGGACCGCAGCACGCCUUAUGGGCCGGGGUUCGCGCCCUCCGGAACGUGCUUUAGG